rnacentral:rRNA from 1 species
UACGGGGGGGGCAAGCGUUGUUCGGAAUUACUGGGCGUAAAGGGCUCGUAGGCGGCCAACUAAGUCAGACGUGAAAUCCCUCGGCUUAACCGGGGAACUGCGUCUGAUACUGGAUGGCUUGAGUUUGGGAGAGGGAUGCGGAAUUCCAGGUGUAGCGGUGAAAUGCGUAGAUAUCUGGAGGAACACCGGUGGCGAAAGCGCUCUACUGGGCCAUAACUGACACUCAGGGACGAAAGCUAGGGGAGCGAAUGGG